rnacentral:rRNA from 1 species
AGGGUUUGAUCCUGGCUCAGAACGAACGCUGGCGGCGUGGAUAAGGCAUGCAAGUCGCGCGAAGACUAACUUCACGGUUGGUACUGAGCGGCGAAAGGGUGAGUAAUGCAUGAAUAACCUACCCUUGACCCGGGGAUAACUGCUAGAAAUGGUAGCUAAUACCGGAUGUGGCAGCUUAAACAUAAGUUUUUGCUGUUAAAGGUGGCUUCGGCUAUUGGUCAAGGAGGGAUUCAUGUCCUAUUAGCUUGUUGGUGAGGUAAUGGCUCACCAAGGCUGUGAUGGGUAGCCGGGCUGAGAGGUUGGCCGGCCACACUGGGACUGAGACACUGCCCAGACUCCUAUGGGAGGCUGCAGUCGAGAAUCUUCCGCAAUGGGCGAAAGCCUGACGGAGCGACGCCGCGUGCAGGAUGAAGGCCCUCGGGUUGUAAACUGCUGUCGUCUGUUAGCAAAGGGAUAGAAGUUAAUACCUUUUAUCUUUGAGAAAAGCAGAAAAGGAAGCCACGGCUAAUUACGUGCCAGCAGCCGCGGUAAUACGUAGGUGGCAAGCGUUGUUCGGAAUCACUGGGCGUAAAGGGCCCGUAGGCUGUUUGGUUAGUCAGAUGUGAAAUCCCCGAGCUCAACUUGGGAACUGCGUCUGAAACUACCAGACUUGAGGAUCGGAGGGGAGUGUGGAAUUCCUGGUGGAGCGGUGAAAUGCGUAGAGAUCAGGAGGAACGCCGGUGGCGAAAGCGACACUCUGGACGAUACCUGACGCUGAGGGGCGAAAGCUAGGGGAGCAAACGGGAUUAGAUACCCCGGUAGUCCUAGCCGUAAACGAUGGGCACUAAGUAGAGGUUGUAUCCGAUGCACUCUCUGCUGUAGCUAAUGUGUUAAGUGCCCCGCCUGGGGAGUACGGCCGCAAGGUUAAAACUCAAAGGAAUUGACGGGGGCUCACACAAGCGGUGGAGCAUGUUGCUUAAUUCGAAACAACGCGAAGAACCUUACCUGGGCUUGACAUACUGGUUUACCAAAUCGAAAGAGGCGGGUCCCUUCGGGGAGCCAGAACAGGUGUUGCAUGGCUGUCGUCAGCUCGUGUCGUGAGAUGUUGGGUUAAGUCCCGUAACGAGCGAAACCCUUGUCCUUAGUUACCAGCGGGUAAAGCCGGGGACUCUAAGGAGACUGCUGGUGUCAAACCGGAGGAAGGUGGGGAUGACGUCAAGUCAUCAUGGCCCUUACGUCCAGGGCUGCAAACGUGCUACAAUGGCCGGUACAAAGGGCAGCAAGACCGAGAGGUGGAGCGAAUCCCAAAAAGCCGGCCCCAGUUCGGAUUGGAGGCUGCAAUUUGCCUCCAUGAAGCCGGAAUCGCUAGUAAUCGGAGGUCAGCAAUACUCCGGUGAAUAUGUUCCUGAGCCUUGUACACACCGCCCGUCAAGCCACGAGAGCCGGUACUGCCCGAAGUCGCUGACCCAAAAAAGGGAGGCGCCUACGGUAAGAUCGGUGAUUGGGACUAAGUCGUAACAAGGUA